GCCGAAGUGGCGGAAUGGCAGACGCGGGCGACUCAAAAUCGUCUGGGGCAACCCAUGCGGGUUCGACUCCCGCCUUCGGCA
rnacentral:tRNA from 1 species